rnacentral:rRNA from 1 species
GACAGAGGAUGCAAGCGUUAUCCGGAAUGAUUGGGCGUAAAGCGUCUGUAGGUGGCUUUUUAAGUCCGCCGUCAAAUCCCAGGGCUCAACCCUGGACAGGCGGUGGAAACUACCAAGCUGGAGUACGGUAGGGGCAGAGGGAAUUUCCGGUGGAGCGGUGAAAUGCGUAGAGAUCGGAAGGAACACCAGUGGCGAAGGCGACCACCUGGACUGAUACUGACACUGAGGUGCGAAAGCGUGGGGAGCAAACAGG